UCUGUGAUGCCCUUAGAUGUUCUGGGCCGCACGCGCGCUACACUGACGGAGCCAGCGAGUACUUCCUUGGCCGACCAGCCGGGUAACUUUGUUAAACUCCGUCGUGCUGGGGAUAGAGCAUUGCAAUUAUCGCUCUUCAACGAGGAAUCCCUAGUAAGCGCAAGUCAUCAGCUUGCGUUGAUUACGUCCCUGCCCUUUGUACACACCGCCCGUCGCUACUACCGAUCGAAUGGCUCAGUGAGGCGUCCGGAAUGGCCCAGGGACGUGGGCAACUACCACCCAGGGCCGGAAAGCUCUCCAAACUCGGUCAUUUAGAGGAAGUAA
rnacentral:rRNA from 1 species